rnacentral:lncRNA from 13 species
AGUGGCAGUGCCACAACACUAACCGCCAGUGUUGUUUGUAGCUAUCCCAGUGUACAGGAAUGGGCUGGCUGUAACAUUUUGUCAUUUUCGUUAGUAAUGCGUGCGUUUGCAUUGUUUAUGUGGUGACAUUUCUAAAUGUCUACAUUUUAGGGCAAGGUCAAGCAAAUUCACAAACGCGUUUCGUCGUUUGUGUCAAAUGAGAAGUAACGUUAGACAGGAAAAAAAGGCUUCGUCGUUUUGACACAUCACAGAGAGGGGCAGAGCCAGUGGCAUAUGAGUCGAGAAGUGGACCUAGUGCGACUUUGACCGUGGAAAUCUCACCACAGCAGGAAACGCGAAACAUUGGGAAUCCAUAAUUCACGAUGGAAUAAUGCUUUAGGAAGUUCCAAAAUCCAGAAACAACGCCACUGGGAUUACAUUUGAAUGUUUUGUUUUUCCUUUCUAAAUAGAAAGGAGUUGUCUUUCAUUGUGACGUUUCACUUAACAUCUCAAAUCGAUAUGUAUACGAGCAAUGCCCGAAUGAGGAGAUAUAGCUAGGGGCUCAAUAUGAGGAAUCCGGAGAAUUGACCUCUGUUUGGAACCCCACCACGCGCCUUGGAGAAUGGCAUCAAAUGAAAGAUUGUACGAGGUCUGGAUGCUGUAUUGCAACAAGGUAAACAAACCUGUCUCUUGAUCUGUUUGACACAUAAAACAUGCAUUAGAAUCUGUCCCCGUCUCGGAGUAUAAACUCGGUGUACUGUCAGUAAGACCAGACAGUUAGGUCUAUUACAA